rnacentral:rRNA from 1 species
CGUAGGGGCAAGCGUUAUCCGGAAUUAUUGGGCGUAAAGAGUGCGUAGGUGGUUUGUAAGCGCGAGGUGAAAGGCUAUGGCUCAACCAUAGUAAGCCUUGUGAACUGUAAGACUUGAGUGCAGGAGAGGAAAGUGGAAUUCCUAGUGUAGCGGUGAAAUGCGUAGAUAUUAGGAGGAACACCAGUGGCGAAGGCGACUUUCUGGACUGUAACUGACACUGAGGCACGAAGCGUGGGGAGCAAACAGGAUUAGAUACCCUGGUAGUCCACGCCGUAAACGAUGAGCACUAGGUGUCGGGGUCGCAAGGCUUCGGUGCCGCAGUUAACGCAUUAAGUGCUCCGCCUGGGGAGUACGCACGCAAGUGUG